AUUGAACGCUGGCGGCAGGCUUAACACAUGCAAGUCGAACGGUAACAGGAAGAAAGCUUGCUUUCUUUGCUGACGAGUGGCGGACGGGUGAGUAAUGCUUGGGAAUCUGGCUUAUGGAGGGGGAUAACUACGGGAAACUGUAGCUAAUACCGCGUAAUAUCGAGAGAUUAAAGGGUGGGACCGCAAGGCCACCUGCCAUGAGAUGAGCCCAAGUGGGAUUAGGUAGUUGGUGAGGUAAAGGCUCACCAAGCCGACGAUCUCUAGCUGGUCUGAGAGGAUGACCAGCCACACUGGGACUGAGACACGGCCCAGACUCCUACGGGAGGCAGCAGUGGGGAAUAUUGCGCAAUGGGGGCAACCCUGACGCAGCCAUGCCGCGUGAAUGAAGAAGGCCUUCGGGUUGUAAAGUUCUUUCGGUAGCGAGGAAGGCACUUAGUUUAAUAGACUAAGUGAUUGACGUAACUACAGAAG
rnacentral:rRNA from 1 species